rnacentral:rRNA from 1 species
CGACGUGGAGAACCUGCCGUAUACUGGGGGAUAACACUUAGAAAUAGGUGCUAAUACCGCAUAAGCGCACAGCUUCGCAUGAAGCAGUGUGGAAAACAAAAAGCUAAAGCUUUUGGUGGUAUACGAUGGAUCCGCGUCUGAUUAGCUAGUUGGCGGGGUAAAGGCCCACCAAGGCGACGAUCAGUAGCCGGCCUGAGAGGGUGAACGGCCACAUUGGGACUGAGACACGGCCCAAACUCCUACGGAAGGCAGCAG